UACGUAGGGGGCAAGCGUUGUCCGGAAUCAUUGGGCGUAAAGCGCGUGUAGGCGGUUCGGUAAGUCUGCUGUGAAAGUCCAGGGCUCAACCCUGGGAUGCCGGUGGAUACUGUCGGACUAGAGUACGGAAGAGGCGAGUGGAAUUCCCGGUGUAGCGGUGAAAUCGCGCAGAUGUCGGGAGGAACACCAAUUGCGAAGGCAGCUCGCUGGGACGUCACUGACGCUGAGACGCGAAAGCGUGGGGAGCAAACAGG
rnacentral:rRNA from 1 species